rnacentral:tRNA from 1 species
GCGCUCGUAGUCCAGUGGAUAGGACGUUAGCCUCCGGAGCUGAAGGCGUGGGUUCGACUCCCGCCGAGCGCGCCA